GGAUCUUGCAUCAGAAAGGCAUCUCAUCCUUCCACAGGCUGCAUUGUCCAAAGUGUGUCUGGACAGAUUCCUGGUGUCAACUGUCUUCCUGUUUUGUAAUCGUGUUGUUCUCUUGUGUGGCCGUAGGUUCGUGUGACUGUGUUUCCCUCCAAGACGGCAGCUCAGCACUCGGGAGUUCCUUGGUGGAUCAUCCUUGUGGCCAUUCUUGCUGGGAUUUUGAUGCUUGCUCUAUUAGUUCUUUUAUUAUGGAAGUGUGGUUUCUUCAAGAGAAAUAAGAAAGAUCAUUAUGAUGCCACAUAUCACAAGGCUGAGAUCCAUGCUCAGCCAUCUGAUAAAGAAAGGCUUACUUCUGAUGCAUAGUAGUGAUCUACUUCUGUAAUUGUGUGGAUUCUUCAAACGCUCUAGGUACGAUGAAAGCAUUCCCCGAUACCAAGCUGUAAAGAUCCCGAAAGAAGAGCGAGAGAUCAGAGAUGAAAAAUACAACGAUCACCUGGAGAAAAAGCAGUGGAUCACAAGGUGGAAUGAAAAUGAAAGCUACUCCUAGGGGCCAGAGGAGCGUCACAGGCCCCAACUGCUUUUUUCUUCCCCAGCUCAGAAAUUCAAAUGGUUUAAAAGCCUGAUCCCUGACUAUUGAGUUCAGACAGACUGCACCAUAGUACGAACCGACAGUUUUAACUGCUGUGGACAUUGUUACGUAGCCUACGGCUCCUGUUUUGUACAGCCAAAUGUAAGACUGUUGGAAUGGAUUUUUCUGUAACUGCCUUAAUUUAACUUUCCCGGUUGCCUUUGUUUUUGGUGUGGCUGACUCACACGUGCCGGGGAAGGCCCCGCCCAGUUGCGCUCAUCUGACAUCCUCCCGCUAGUGUAACUGGAAGAAGGCGCCCGUGGUCACCGUGUCAGCAGAGUGACCGUGGGUGCUGCCUCUGCAAGCGUUCUUCCCAAUAGGACUGGAGAACCUGCAAGUUAACUGUCCCCCAUCACAAGACAAUGCCGUAGGGGUAGCUGUGUUUCCAUUUAAAGUGCUAUCUUAAAUUAAAUGUGCAAUAGAAGGUGAUGUUGCCAUCCUGCUAUCUUUUUCCAUUUCCCAGACGUGUGAAUACCUGUUCACACCAAAGACAUCCAGGUUUCCUUCUCCCUUUUCACUAAAACACACAGGUGCAACUGACUUGAAUGCUAGUUAUCCUUAUUUGUAUAUGGUAUUUAUUUUUUAUUUUUUACAAACCAUUUUGUUAUUGACUAGCGGGCCAAAGAUUCUCCAGUUUGUCCUGCAGGUUGGAGUAAGCAAUCAGAAUUAGAACAUGGGAGGUCAUUGGUUUGAUCUAAAGUAUUUACUGCAAAAAGAAAAUAAUGCUUUAUAAAUGUACCAGAGAGUUGUUAUAAUUUACAACAUAAGUUAUUAAAACAUCUUCCUUCAUGACAUCCCUUACCUUGACCCCCUCCCUCCAAACCCAAAAGGUUUGUUUAAGAAAUAGGAUUAACCGUUAGAAGUUUAAUUCUGAACAGACAAUGGAUAUUUUUGAGUUUGGAGCCCUGUGUGACAAUUAUGAAUUUUAUGCUAUAACUUUCAGGAACUCUUGGAAAAAAGGGGGUUUAUUUCUUGACCUUUCACUGCUGUAUAUACAGGACUUGAAAGAAAUGGUGAGUGCCUAUGGUGGAUCCAAUCCGAUCCAGUGGAAGACUACUGAAUACCCGAUACCAAAAGUCAGAUUAGAACAUCAUGGCUUUUACGUUUUAAAUAUUAUUGGAAUCAUGUCAUGUGAGUCAGAGUUCUAUUUUUUUGCUGUGUUUCCUCCCCUAUGUAUUUCCCCAAAUUAUUUUAGGACUACUCUAACAAGAACUUUAACUUGUUUUUUAAGUGUCAAAGUGGAGGAGGGGAGGAAGACAUUAUUCUUCUAUACAUUCAAUAGAGAUUGAAUAGAUAUGAAAGCCAGAUUUUAAAAAAUGACUGUGCUUCAAGAUGUUAAGUUAUAUGGGGAGCAACAGCAAACCAGGUGCUAAUUUGUUUGGAUGUAAUGUAAGCUGUGUCUCAUUCUUUUAAAAACAAAAUACAGCUAUGUACCAUUGUUGCUUUGGAGUUUUAAUUUUCUUUCCUUUUUGGAAAUCUUAUACCCUUAAGAUACUAAGAACAUUACUCUAGUUAUACUUUAGAAAUUUCAUUCACAAAUAUUGUUUUCCAAAUGAUAUUUUGUUUACAAAAAUUUCUUGAGAACAGGUCAUAACAGUGUUUAAAAUCUCAGUUUCUUGCUUAGGUAACUUGGAACCCAAUGUACUGGCUUCAUAGGUUGCUAAGAAGCUGAUUUUUGAACAUGUUUAUAGGCCCUUGUUGUAAAGACGAAUGUCCUUGGGAAGGGGUGGGGAGGUGGGUGCAAGGGUGGCUCAACAACAAAGAAACAAGAAUGUAGUGGUCUUUACGUUUAUAGUUGUGAAAAAUGUCAUCUCAAGUCAAGUCACUGGUCUAUUCUCAUUUGAUACAUUUUUAUACUAACUAGCAUUGUAAAAUUAUUUCAUGAUUAGAAAAUACCUGUGGAUAUUUGUAUAAAAGUAUGAAAUAAAUUUUUUUAUGAAAGUGUUCA